CACCAAGGCGACGAUCGGUAGGUGGUCUGAGAGGACGAUCACCCAGACUGGGACUGAGACACGGCCCAGACUCCUACGGGAGGCAGCAGUCGGGAAUUUUGGGCAAUGGGCGAAAGCCUGACCCAGCAACGCCGCGUGAGGGAUGAAGGCCUUCGGGUCGUAAACCUCUUUUCUCAGGGACGAUGAUGACGGUACCUGAGGAAGAAGCCACGGCUAACUACGUGCCAGCAGCCGCGGUAAUACGUAGGUGGCGAGCGUUGUCCGGAUUUACUGGGCGUAAAGAGCGCGCAGGCGGUCGUACAAGUCGAAUGUGAAAGCCCCCGGCUCAACUGGGGAGGGUCAUUCGAUACUGUUCGACUCGAAGGCAGGAGAGGGAAGCGGAAUUCCCGGUGUAGUGGUGAAAUGCGUAGAUAUCGGGAGGAACACCAGUGGCGAAGGCGGCUUCCUGGCCUGUUCUUGACGCUGAGGCGCGAAAGCUAGGGGAGCAAACGGGAUUAGAUACCCCGGUAGUCCUAGCCGUAAACGAUGGACACUAGGUGUUGGCGGUAUCAACCCCGCCAGUGCCGAAGCUAACGCAUUAAGUGUCCCGCCUGGGGAGUACGGCCGCAAGGCUA
rnacentral:rRNA from 1 species